rnacentral:rRNA from 1 species
UACGUAGGGUGCAAGCGUUAUCCGGAAUUAUUGGGCGUAAAGAGCUCGUAGGCGGUUUGUCACGUCUGCUGUGAAAACUGGAGGCUCAACCUCCAGCCUGCAGUGGGUACGGGCAGACUAGAGUGCGGUAGGGGAGAUUGGAAUUCCUGGUGUAGCGGUGAAAUGCGCAGAUAUCAGGAGGAACACCGGUGGCGAAGGCGGGUCUCUGGGCCGAUACUGACGCUGAGGAGCGAAAGCAUGGGUAGCGAACAGG